GAGCAACGCCGCGUGAGGGAUGAAGGCCUCUGGGCUGUAAACCUCUUUUCUCAAGGAAGAAGACCUGACGGUACUUGAGGAAUAAGCCACGGCUAAUUCCGUGCCAGCAGCCGCGGUAAUACGGGAGUGGCAAGCGUUAUCCGGUAUUAUUGGGCGUAAAGCGUCCGCAGGCGGCCCUGUAAGUCUGUCGUUAAAGCGUGGAGCUCAACUCCAUUUCAGCGAUGGAAACUACAGGGCUUGAGUGUGGUAGGGGCAGAGGGAAUUCCCGGUGUAGCGGUGAAAUGCGUAGAUAUCGGGAAGAACACCAGUGGCGAAGGCGCUCUGCUGGGCCAUAACUGACGCUCAUGGACGAAAGCCAGGGGAGCGAAAGGGAUUAGAUACCCCUGUAGUCCUGGCCGUAAACGAUGAACACUAGGUGUCGGGGGAAUCGACCCCCUCGGUGUCGUAGCCAACGCGUUAAGUGUUCCGCCUGGGGAGUACGCACGCAAGUGUGAAACUCAAAGGAAUUGACGGGGGCCCGCACAAGCGGUGGAGUAUGUGGUUUAAUUCGAUGCAACGCGAAGAACCUUACCAGGGUUUGACAUCCUGCGAACCCCCUGGAAACGGGGGGGUGCCUUCGGGAACGCAGUGACAGGUGGUGCAUGGCUGUCGUCAGCUCGUGUCGUGAGAUGUUGGGUUAAGUCCCGCAACGAGCGCAACCCACGUCGUUAGUUGCCAGCAUUCAGUUGGGCACUCUAGCGAGACCGCCGGUGAUAAACCGGAGGAAGGUGUGGAUGACGUCAAGUCAUCAUGCCCCUUACAUCCUGGGCUACACACGUACUACAAUGCUACGGACAAAGGGCCGCAAGCUCGCGAGAGUUAGCAAAUCCCAUAAGCCGUGGCUCAGUUCAGAUCGUAGGCUGCAACUCGCCUACGUGAAGGAGGAAUCGCUAGUAAUCGCAGGUCAGCAUACUGCGGUGAAUACGUUCCCGGGCCUUGUACACACCGCCCGUCACACCAUGGAAGUUGGCCACGCCCGAAGUCGUUACUCCAACCCUUGUGGAGGAGGACGCCGAAGGUGGGGCUGAUGACUGGGGUGAAGUCGUAACAAGGUAGCCGUACCGGAAGGUG
rnacentral:rRNA from 1 species